GGGGAUUAGGAGUGGCGCACCCUGUUUUACCUCAGAAGCAGAUUGUCCAGCUCUGGAUAACUGUGUAACAAAGUUAAACUGUUGCACUGCGCAUGCGUCGAGUGAAGUGAAUACGAGUGGAGCAUGGCGGAGCACGUGACUCACUCAUGCAGACACGUGUCCACUGAACACCCCCCCCCCCCAGUUUAACGGUGAAUCAGAUGGAUCCUUGUUGCCAGCUCCUGCUCUGCUAUUCAACCUGCUGAUGGAAUUAUAAUAACCACACAUGAACAGAAAUGUGUGAAUGCCAAAGUGUGCUGUGCCUGCUGUCUGAGCACAAGAGCGUCCUGACUGCCCCUGUGUCUGCUGUCCAACCUGCGUGUGAAUGCAGUUCUCUGAGACUGCAGGUCCAUUGGAAGUAGUUGGGGAGGCACCAAUGAAAGCUGAUUUCAAACCCAGGUGGCCGGCUCUCUUCCAUGUGCAUGAGGUGUGUGUGGAAUUCAAGAGAAUCACAACGAUCCAUUUAGAGUCAAAGUUCUUCUCUGAGCUGGAUGCUCACUCAGACCCAAUCCAGGUGUUUGCCAAGAAAGGCGGAGUUCAGGGAGACGGAUCAGAAGCAUCAUGGGACCCAUGACUGAGCCGGUGGAUGAGCAGGGCCUGUCUGGCCUCCCUCUCUCUCCCCUCGCUCGCCCGCCUCCUCCACUCCCUCUGCUCUGCCUCCAUAUGCAGAGAGAGGGCGAGCGAGGGGAACACUGACUGGCACAGCUGGAGAGAGAGAGAGAGAUGUAAGCUCUGAUGAUCACAUGACCUCCUCCUCCUCCUCCUCCUGUUGUUCAGAGCUCCUCCCUCUCCGCCAGCUUCUCCUGCAGACAACA